rnacentral:lncRNA from 1 species
ACAAAAAAGGAUUUUAGAGGAAAAUGGAUGCCAAAUGCCCUUUUCUAGAGAAGCUCUGAUCUUGAGUAGGAUAGAUGGUAAAAACUUGCCAAAUCCUUUAAAUUUAGAUUCAGUCAAGAAUUACCUCGCCUGAAGAAGAAGAAAGGACCAAGGUGAAAACUCGCAAAGGGCACUUUAAGUCAAAAAAAAUGAAAAAUAAAAAAAU